rnacentral:lncRNA from 1 species
GUGUCCUCACAAUGGGUUGUACCUCUUACAUCCUGUUCAGGCAGGCUGGCCCUGUAACCCAGGGCAAUGCCACUAGUGAAGAGCAUUUUCUGUGUGUAGAAUAGUGUGUUAGGGGUAGCUUCAAAAACAAACAAAAAAUGUUACCAGAACACACAUGUUCUUUUAGUGAAAGUUUAAAAGAUAGCACUUCUUUGCAGAGGGUCAACAGUGAAGUGUGGUGACCUGGUUACUUUCUGUUUGACUAAGUGUUUCAUGGCUCUGGUUUGCACUCUGGAAGACUGAUCUUUGCUGAGAUUAGCUGAGUACUGAGUAGUUUUGGCUUCAAACUGAGGCUUCAUGGAGACUGCAACAUAGUCUGUGACCUCCAAGGUAAGCCCAGAGCCUUGAGGUAUGGAAAAGUGUCCUGAGAAAAAGUAAAAAGAAGAGAGAGGAAAAGAGAUCAACAAAUGGUCAGAAGUCAAAAUACUUUUCAGAGGUCUAAAAGUAAACAGAAAAACGAAUGUCAAAAUUUAACUGCUUCUAAAGUAAAGUAAAAACAAAUACUUUAAGCACAAACUCAAAAAAGAAAAGGUAUCU